CGAACGCCUGGUUCAGUGUCAACAAAUCAUCUAGAGGUGAGCACACUCAAGGGUGAGAAUAAAAAAAAAAAAAAGAAAUUAAGGAACCACAGAAGGAGCAAACAAAGGAGCCAUGUCUUUCUUUGGGUAUAAAACUUCCACGAUGACAAGGAUAUCUUGUACAACUCUGAAAAAGGAAAUGAUUAUGAAGUUGAUUACCAAGAGAACCAAAAUGGGACACGUCUCACCAUUCGUUGCAAUGUGUGUUCAAAGGAGUUGACUUCCUAUGAUCCUUUUGUCACCCAUGAAAAUGGGAAGCUUCAUAAGAAGGUAAGUAGAUAUCUUUGUAAUAUCUUUGUUUCUGUUUCUGUUUUAUUAUUUAUUAAUAUUAG